AGCUUGACUUGAAGAUUUUGGACUUUCUAAAGCUUGGUUUUCAAGAUUUCUUCAAGAUUGAGAUUUGAGCUUGGAUUGAAGUGUGGAGAUAGGAGGAGAGGUGGUUGUCCUAGGGUUUGAAGAUUUGGGCAAGGUUGAUUGGGCUUGGAAGAGUUGUGGGUUGGCCAAAACGAGGUGAUAUAGGUACUAGCGCUAGUGCUCCGACUACGGAUCAGCAGGGAGGAGCGUGACGCGGAUGGCCUGGACUUGUGGUGGUUUGUUGUUUUAUUUUGUGUGGUGUUGGUUAGUCUUUGGCUUAAUGGUAUAUUAGGAUAUAUACAAGUAUGUAAUGUGUGGGAUAAAUGAAGAUUUUGGAUGGUUAGGCUUGAUGCCUUGGUAUGUAUGUGUGUAUGAUGAUUUAUGUUUGGGAUGAUAUGGCCUGAGGCCCUGGAUAUUUAGUUGGUGGUAUGGGAAUUAUUGGUUUAAA